rnacentral:sRNA from 1 species
CAUUGUCUUCGUCUUCUUCCUUCAUCCAU